GCCUAGGGACGCAGCAGUGAGGAAUAUUGGUCAAUGGCCGAGAGGCUGAACCAGCCAAGUCGCGUGAGGGAAGACGGCCCUACGGGUUGUAAACCUCUUUUGUCGGGGAGCAAAGCGAACCACGUGUGGUUCAUUGAGAGUACCCGAAGAAAAAGCAUCGGCUAACUCCGUGCCAGCAGCCGCGGUAAUACGGAGGAUGCGAGCGUUAUCCGGAUUUAUUGGGUUUAAAGGGUGCGCAGGCGGAGGUGCAAGUCAGCGGUCAAAUUGCGGGGCUCAACCCCGUACUGCCGUUGAAACUGCAUCCC
rnacentral:rRNA from 1 species